AUGUCAGCAUCACAACUAGGUACCUUCGUUCCCAGGACAUUAGGGCCAUUUAACUGUUUGACUCUACUGAAUGAAGCCUUCGAAAGUGCCUUAGCUGGAGCGGGUCCUGGGUUGGGCGCUGAGUCGAUGGACAACAUUGAUUCAAGUAAAUACAAGGAAGAUGCAGACCGCUCAACCAAUGUUAAAACUAAAAAACUGUGUACAUCAAAUAGAUAACUUAAUGGCAUGAUAAUUCCCAGGGGAAUAAUUAUACACGAAAGGGUGGUAGGAAGCCAUGAAAUUUCUGUUAGUCUUCUACAUUCAGUUAGUCUAGGGAAGCUAUAAGAAGGGAGGGAUUUUAAGAUAUGUUUCAGUGAAAGAAUGUGCCUUCUCCAAUAUCUUAUCUUGGGUAGCAAAUUCCUAUUUUGGUGUUUUUCUUGCAUUCAUCAUCGUGGGCAGUUAUUUAGACAUGUAGACACAGUGAAUCUUCACACCAGUGGGAGUUAUACCCAUACAUUUCUGCAAAUAAUAGGAAUAAUUGUUAAAUGUAGCUUCCUGGAAAAAUUGCAAAAAACCUUAUCUCACUAGGAGUUGAUAAUAUCCUAAUUCUGGACUUGGAACACUAUGGAUAGGUUUUUUAAAUUGCUACAUUUUAUUUUCUACAUGUGUGUGAGGAGUCUGAAAAAUGAACUGCCAAGGUGUGCUUAUUAAUAUAAUUCAUUAGAUAUGCUUGAGAUUAUUCCUGAGGAUGAAGUGUCCAUUAAUUAUGUUCCUUUGCUUGAUGUAUUGUGGCAUAGGAAAUAUUGUAAUUUAUUGUAUACUGAAUUAUUUAAAAUUCCUAAUAAUAAGAUAGCUCCUUCGAUGGGCAGUAUAUAUAAUAUGAAUAUGAAUUCAUGAUACAGAGUGAGAUUUAAUAAAAUAAAAUUUAUCAUGGAGAACCAACUCCUACUUCAUAUACAUUUUUUUCUUAAUACACUUUGUAUGUGCUGCUGCAAGAAUGCUGUGACUUGCUUUUUGAAAUUACAGCUCUCCAGAAUGAGAGGGAAGCUUGAUUUGAUUAAUUAUNNNNNNNNNNNNNNNNNNNNNGGGGAGGGAAGAAAAUGGUUUUGACUUUAGUUUUUGCAUAAUUGCUGCUUUUUGGAUUUACAUCACUUCCAUCAGUUGUUGAGAAAUGAAGGAGUAAUUUAUUUUAAAGAGAGAGAUAAGAUGAAGAGUCGAGGGCAUCACUAUGGAGCAGCGAUGACAUUUAACUCCUGCUCUAAUGUGGUGAUCAGUAAGAUGAGAGAAGGCNNNUAUUAAAAUGUUAGUAUCGCACUUUGUGGGUGUUUUUCAAGCUUUAAGAAAAUAGUCAUUCUUAUAUUUAGAGGACGAUUUUUUAGAUGAUUUGCAUUUUACUUAACUGACAACAUUAGAUGUUACAUUAAAAGGAACACAAUGGAUUCCUUAUGUACAGCUUUCUUGAAAGCAUUUGUGAUGAUCUUUGAAUUUGGUAUUCAUUAUCCUACUUAGAAGUAUAAUUGAGAUUCAUUUCAGUUCUUCUUAGUCAAAUAAUCAUAAUGAGAGAGAAAAUAUUUAUUGCUGGGAACAAGACAAUGGUGUAGAUGGGAAGCAUUAGGAAAACAGAAA
rnacentral:lncRNA from 1 species